UUAAGUGUUAAAGUCUAGAUACACAAAACUUACAGUCAAUUAGCACUGGAACUUAUAAAAUUACAGUGUACUGAACCCAUUUGCAUUCAUGACAAGCAGGUGAAAAACCUUGAAAUUACAGUAAGAAAACCUUGCAGGUAUAGUACCUAGUGUCUUCUACAGAUUAUAGAGACACAACUGAACCAACAUUGCGAUGCAGAGGCCGGGGGCAAUCCUCCUUUUCGAAAAGAAAAAAACAGCUGAACCAACAUACACACUUGACACUUCCUAUCAUACAGAUGACUACACACUGAACCAACAUAGACACUGCCCUAUCCAUAGUGUGAAAAAAGCAGUUCAUCAUCUAUCUAAUGCAAACAAUCCUUCUUCUCCAUCAUUGUUAAUUCACAGUCUGAAAAAAAAGGAUCAAACACGACAUUAGACCAAUCAUUAAGAUAUACAGCACAAAGGGACGCCAUUAACACUGAACCAAAAAGCUGAAAAUACAUAGUACAAGAGACAGCGAGUGACAUAGACGAGUACAGUAAAUUAGGCAACCUUUAGCCAAAAGUACAACUAAAAAAGACUGGAAGUCAUGAACCUCUUUACUGUAAAUUUGAAGUAUAAAAAACAGAAGUGCUUACAUCUUCAAAAAAAAUCAGUAACAAGAAGUCUAGAACUUAUCGACCCUGUUGAACUCACUGAAAAACUUAUCAUUAGCAUACUUUGUCCUUAAGUUGGGAAUGUCAGCGCUUGAAAAAUGGUCAACAACUUGAGUCCUUGCAGUCCACACUUCCAUAAACUCGAAUGUAAAGACACCACAAUUGUGUGC
rnacentral:lncRNA from 1 species